GAGCUUCUCGGCCUUUCUUUCCCGCGGGUGGAAAUUAGGAAAAAAAAAAAAGCGUUUGGUCGUGUAUGCCACUGCUGCUUCUGAAAUUCCACAACUGAAGGUUUUGGAGGAAUUAUCUCCCAUAACCCAUUUUAGAGAAAUUGAUGAAAAAGACACUGUUGGCAACUCUGGAACAAAUUUAAUGCCCCAUCCUAAAACAUCAGAGGAUUGUUUUACACAAUAAAGACGAGAGCCUCGUGUGGUGCAGAGUGGUAGGCAGCAGUAUUGCAACUGAAACUACCCAUGACCAGAGUUUGAUCCCAGUGGAAGCUGGAUUCUCGGGAAGCUGGCUCAGGUCGACUCAACCUUCCAUCCUUCUGAGGUCGGUAAAAUGAGUAGGGGAAGGUGAUGACUGAGAAAGGCAAUGGCAAACCACCCUGCUAUAGUCUGCCAAAAAAAUGUGAAAGCAGCAUCCCCCAAAGGGUCAGACAUGACUCUGUGCUUGCACAGGGGACCUUUCACAUGGAAAGACUGUCCAAUA